AACGAACGCUGGCGGCAGGCCUAACACAUGCAAGUCGAGCGCCCAGCAAUGGGAGCGGCAGACGGGUGAGUAACGCGUGGGAACCUUCCCGAUAGUACGGAAUAGCCCAGGGAAACUUGGAGUAAUACCGUAUACGCCCGAAAGGGGAAAGAUUCAUCGCUAUCGGAUGGGCCCGCGUAGGAUUAGCUAGUUGGUGAGGUAAUGGCUCACCAAGGCGACGAUCCUUAGCUGGUUUGAGAGAAUGACCAGCCACACUGGGACUGAGACACGGCCCAGACUCCUACGGGAGGCAGCAGUGGGGAAUCUUGGACAAUGGGCGCAAGCCUGAUCCAGCCAUGCCGCGUGAGUGACGAAGGUCUUCGGAUUGUAAAGCUCUUUUGCCAGGGACGAUAAUGACGGUACCUGGAGAAUAAGCCCCGGCUAACUUCGUGCCAGCCGCCGCGGUAAUAC
rnacentral:rRNA from 1 species